CUGCUUUGAAGACUGCCUUUUCUUCUCAUUUUUCUUCAUACCUUUUGCAUUCAGAACAGAUUUACCUUUUAUUGGCAUUUCAACUAAUUUUGGUCUCUCCUCAGAUGAAAAAUUCUUUGUGUGUUUUUCUUCUGUCAUUUUUUCAUUCUUCCUUAGAGCAAGCUUUUCUUUUACUGGUUGAUUGGUAAUAUUGCCUGCUGGUGUAUUUAAUUUAUCAAGGUCUUCCUGUUUCUCCACUGCUUGCACUUUGAAAUGUUUCUGCUUCCUUUUUUCUUUCUCAACCCGUCUCCCAUAGUUUUCAAUGGCAUCCUUGACCAUCCCUUUUUCAGCUGAUGACGGCACAUGAAAGACAGAUUCUGAGCACUCACCUUCAAUAUCGUCUACAUCUCCUAAACUCAAUUCCUC
rnacentral:lncRNA from 1 species